rnacentral:miRNA from 1 species
UUGCAGGAGACUAGAGACCAG